rnacentral:rRNA from 1 species
UACGUAGGGGGCAAGCGUUGUCCGGAUUUAUUGGGCGUAAAGAGCGUGUAGGCGGCCAUACAGGUCAGCUGUGAAAACUCGAGGCUCAACCUCGAGACGUCGGUUGAAACCGUAUGGCUAGAGUCCGGAAGAGGAGAGUGGAAUUCCCGGUGUAGCGGUGAAAUGCGCAGAUAUCAGGAGGAACACCGGUGGCGAAGGCGGGUCUCUGGGCCGAUAUUGACGCUGAGGAGCGAAAGCGUGGGGAGCGAACAGG